UGCAAGUCGAACGGUGAACACGGAGCUUGCUCUGUGGGAUCAGUGGCGAACGGGUGAGUAACACGUGAGCAACCUGCCCCUGACUCUGGGAUAAGCGCUGGAAACGGCGUCUAAUACUGGAUAUGUGACGUGAUCGCAUGGUCUGCGUCUGGAAAGAAUUUCGGUUGGGGAUGGGCUCGCGGCCUAUCAGCUUGUUGGUGAGGUAAUGGCUCACCAAGGCGUCGACGGGUAGCCGGCCUGAGAGGGUGACCGGCCACACUGGGACUGAGACACGGCCCAGACUCCUACGGGAGGCAGCAGUGGGGAAUAUUGCACAAUGGGCGCAAGCCUGAUGCAGCAACGCCGCGUGAGGGAUGACGGCCUUCGGGUUGUAAACCUCUUUUAGCAGGGAAGAAGCGAAAGUGACGGUACCUGCAGAAAAAGCGCCGGCU
rnacentral:rRNA from 1 species